GACGAAGGUGGCAACCGUUGCUCGGAUUCACUGGGCAUAAAGCGCGCGUAGGUGGCUCGGCAGGUCACUGGUGAAAUCCCACGGCUCAACCGUGGACCCGCCAGUGAAACCGCCUUGCUUGAGGACGAGAGGGGAGAAUGGAACUCUUGGUGUAGCGGUGAAAUGCGUAGAUAUCAAGAGGAACGCCGGUGGCGAAAGCGAUUCUCUGGAUCGUUCCUGACACUGAGGCGCGAAAGCUAGGGGAGCAAACAGGAUUAGAUACCCUGGUAGUCCUAGCUGUAAACGAUGAGCACUGGGUAGAGGUGGUAGCUGAUGCCUCCUCUGCCGAAGCUAAUGUGUUAAGUGCUCCGCCUGGGGAGUAUGGUCGCAAGGCUAAA
rnacentral:rRNA from 1 species